UACGUAGGUGGCAAGCGUUGUCCGGAUUUACUGGGCGUAAAGGAUGCGUAGGCGGACAUUUAAGUCAGAUGUGAAAUACCCGAGCUUAACUUGGGUGCUGCAUUUGAAACUGGGUGUCUAGAGUGCAGGAGAGGUAAGUGGAAUUCCUAGUGUAGCGGUGAAACGCGUAGAGAUUAGGAAGAACACCAGUGGCGAAGGCGACUUACUGGACUGUAACUGACGCUGAGGCAUGAAAGCGUGGGGAGCAAACAGG
rnacentral:rRNA from 1 species